rnacentral:rRNA from 1 species
UACGGAGGGUGCAAACGUUAUUCGGAAUCAUUGGGUGUAAAGCGCGUGUAGGCGGCUUGGAAAGUCAGAUGUGAAAGCUUCGGGCUUAACCCGGAAAGUGCAUUUGAAACUCCCUAGCUUGAGUCACGGAGAGGAAGGUGGAAUUCCCAGUGUAGAGGUGAAAUUCGUAGAUAUUGGGAGGAACACCGGUGGCGAAGGCGACCUUCUGGACGGUGACUGACGCUGAGACGCGAAAGCGUGGGGAGCAAACAGG